GAUCAUGGCUCAGAAUGAACGUUGGCGGCGUGGAUUAGGCAUGCAAGUCGAACGCCCCGCGAGGGGAGUGGCGCACGGGUGAGUAACGCGUACGUAACCUGCCUUACAGAGGGGAAUAGCCCUGGGAAACUGGGAUUAAUACUCCAUAGUAUAUAGAUGGCGCAUGCUGUUUAUAUUAAAGUUGAGGCGCUGUAAGAUGGGCGUGCGUGCUAUUAGCUAGUUGGUGAGGUAACGGCUCACCAAGGCUACGAUAGCUAGGGGGCGUGAGAGCGUGGCCCCCCACACGGGUACUGAGACACGGACCCGACUCCUACGGGAGGCAGCAGUAAGGAAUAUUGGACAAUGGUCGAAAGACUGAUCCAGCCAUCCCGCGUGCAGGAUGACUGCCCUAUGGGUUGUAAACUGCUUUUAUAUGGGAAGAAUAGCAUAGAUUCAUCUGUGUAUGACGGUACCAUAUGAAUAAGCACCGGCUAACUCCGUG
rnacentral:rRNA from 1 species